GUCUGGGAACAAGGCUAAUAGUGAACCACAUUGAACAAACUAAUUAUGCCAGAUGCACGGGUAGACAUUUGAAUCAUAUUUUAUGUUAAUGAAUAAACACGGUUGUUAUAUUUAUUAUUCAAAGGACAAUUAUUUAUGUAAAUUUAGAACUUACCUUAGGUUCAUUGCCUUGCAUUCAUCUAUCCAAGAUGUCAGGCUAACUUAGCACAAGGUGAUUUCUAUGCAACUUGGUUAACCAGUAAAUGACAGACAAUCUAGAUUGUUAGGGCAUUGAUUAUUCGAGAUGUUUCUGAUUAAUUAAUACAAAAUGGGUGCUCCCUAGCACAAACGAAGACUCUAACUGGUAGAAGCCAUUUUAUCAUUUUUCCAACUUUUGUUUUGCUAAGUGAAUGUAGUCACACUCAAUGCUCGAAAUAGAACCUAUGAACGACAAUUGCUAGACUGAUAGCUUGUGGUAAUAGGAUUGUGUACUGAAACAUAGGACAUUUCUGCAGUAUGCAAUAUCAUAUUCCACGUGCUCUAGUCUAUUGAUGCAGUUGCUUUUUGAUUGUCUAGACCAUCUUCAAAUGCUAUGCAACACCUCAGGUGUGGUAUUGGUCCCAUUACGAGUGUGUCUUGGAAUUCAACAGGUCGAUUACUUGCUGCUGCAUCCCCUGCACACACAAAAAUAAUGGUUUGGGCUGUAGUGUCUGAGCUUUCGGUGCCUCUGCACAGAUUUGGUGGUGUUGGAACUCCCUUGUUGUGGUCACCAGAUUGUUCUCAUGUUGUCUCAUCUUCAACUUCCAAGUUCUUCAUAGUUUGGGAAACACAGAUGUGGACGUGUGAAAAAUACUCAAAUAUGUGAUAUAGACUACAGUCGGUUUUGGUGGAGUCCGAGCGGACAGAUUUUAGUGUUUGCUGUUCGUGGCCAGUUGUGUCUUUAUUCUCUAUGGUUUAUUUCUUUCUCUGGAGAUUCGUCGACUGCGAGGCCAUCAGUUGCAAAUCAAGUCUGUGUAAAGUGGGUGGAUCUCAGUCCAUACACGUUUAGAACUCAAAUGUUGUGAUGUCACGUAAUCAUCAACAUACUACAUCGACCAACGAUCUUGCUUGUGAUUGCUGUGCUUGUAGGAUUGGUGAACAUGUCCAGUCUCUGGCUUGGGAUUCUCGAGCCAACAGUCAAGGAGCCGAAUUGAUUACCAUUUCUCGAACAAGAGAAACUCCUACAGUAGAAAUUAUUCCAAGUUGAUUCAUACGAGGUGCUAAUACUUCUGGUCUGCCACAUUGCAUCUCAUUUCAGAGUAACUUUUGAGCAUGGUGCUCUACUUAGUGUGGUGACGCAUCAAGUUCCCUUAGCAAGGCAGAGCGGCAAUAUGCACAAAUUGAACGAGAGGCGCUUGCCCUAUAUUGGGGAGUACGGAAAUUCCAGAUGUAUAUAGAGGGGCGACCGUUUGUUUUAGUGACCGAUCACAAACCGUUGAGAUACAUCAUGUCUCCCAGUAAGCCCCUUUCCGUGACAACAGCUGCCAUACUACAGCGCUGGUGCCGGUUUUUGGGCGCUUUCCAAUAUCAAAUUGAAUUCAAGACCAGCCACCAACACGCAAACUGUGACGGUCUUUCCCGACCACGGCUAGAAACCGAAACAAGCGGGACGGCGGAGGAUGGAGACGAGGUUACGCUUCUCCAUGUCAGUAUUGUCGAAAAACUACCAAUCAAGGCCAAAGACGGCCAAAGAUAUUCGACGAGCAACCCGAACUGACCCGGUACUGUCAUAAGUAAUGGAACUGGUACAACAAGGCUGGAAAACCAGUCCGCAACAGUCAGAGGUAAAGCCGUUUUACUGCCGCCGGGACGAGUUAACAGUACACCAAGGAAUCCUCAUGUGGGGAACUAGAGUCAUAGUACCUGCCAGUCUAAGACACUAUGUAUUGCAGACACUGCACGAAGGCCAUCUUGGUAUAGUGAAAACUAAAGGCUUCGCCCGUUCCUUCGUAUGGUGGCCUCGCAUCGACCAAGACAUCGAGGAACUAAUUUAGGGCUGCAGGGGUUGUCAAGAGACCGCUGUUUCUCCCAACGAGCUCCUAUUCAUCGUUGGGAAUGCCCCGCGUCGGCGUGGCAACGUCUACACGUAGACUUUGCCGGACACAUGCUCGGAAGGAUGUACUUGGUUAUAUUAGACGCUUAUAGCAAAUGGCCUGAGAUCGUGGAGAUAAAAACUGCGACGGCCGAGGAGACUGUCACACAACGAGCAGUGAUUGCCCGUAUGGGGAUCCCACACCAGAUUGUGUACCUCCGAAGUUUUCAGGAGAUUUACGAAGGCAAACGGAAUCAAACGUAUGACUGGAGCAUCGUAUCACCCUUCAACGAACGGGAUAGCGGAACGCUUGGUGCAAAGUUUCAAACGCGCUGUAAAGUCCGGCCACACCGAGAUUACAACACAGCACAAACUAGACAAAUUUUUGUUCGCCUACCGUACCGCUCCACAUGAAACGGCGGAACUGAGCCCAGCAGAACUCAUGUUCGAACGCAAUCUGCGAACUAAGUUGGAUUUGACGAGACCGCGCGUAAAAAAACGGUAGAUGACAAGACACUAAAGAGCGGGAGCAAACCACUGAGAUCGUUUCAAGCUGGACAGAGCGUAAUGGCCAGGAACUAUAGGCAAGGGCCGAAAUGGCUACCAGGAACAGUCAUAGAACGAACAGGAUCAGUCUCUUACGCCGUACUUGUCAACAAGUCAGUUCGCAGGCAACACACUGACCAGCUGCGAUCGGAUAUAACACUGUGGUGGGGGAGCGAACGAAAGGACACAAUCCGACGGAAUACCAGGAAACACUGGUCGCAACAGGAAUUAUAGCACCCUCAAGGUGGAUAGUUCAGACAACACCAGUGACGUCACCGGUACCACCACCAACCGACACGACAACGCUCGACGAGACACUCUCGCAAGAAGACACAGCAGUAGAGUCACUGUUCAAAGAAGACAAUGCAGUCGAAUCACCGCUCAAAGCAAGAACCAACCGAUCUGGAAGAAAUAUAAGGACACCAGAACGGCUAAAGACUACCAGGUCAUGAUGCAAGAGACUUUGGUUUAGUCAGUAAUGGUAGAGUAGAGACACCAAGAAACUACUGCUAUAAUUCUUUCGUUGUGUUACGGUUCUUAACUAGGCCUAGGGAAUGUAGGGUAGUGCAUAGUGCGCAUGCGUGAGUGACACACGGAGAAUCGUUAUCUUAGGUAAAUCCAG